rfam:Methylotenera sp. RIFCSPLOWO2_02_FTLL_45_14 rifcsplowo2_02_scaffold_7512, whole genome shotgun sequence.
UGGCUGGUCAGAAUUAUUGGGCUGCUUUUACAUUGACGCACAACCUCUAAAUUAUAGGAAUUAAGUUAUGGCAAUUACAGCACAAGACAGCGCGAAAAUCGUUGCAGAAUAUCAACGCGCACCA